GACGAACGCUGGCGGCGUGCCUAAUACAUGCAAGUCGAGCGCAGGAAACUGACGGAACUCUUCGGAGGAAAGGCAGCGGAAUGAGCGGCGGACGGGUGAGUAACACGUAAGGAACCUGCCUCAAGGAUUGGGAUAACUCCGAGAAAUCGGAGCUAAUACCGAAUAGUUCAACGGACCGCAUGGUCCGCUGAUGAAAGGCGCUCCGGCGUCACCUUGAGGUGGCCGUGCGGUGCAUUAGCUAGUUGGUGGGGUAACGGCCCACCAAGGGGACGAUGCAUAGCCGACCUGAGAGGGUGAUCGGCCACACUGGGACUGAGACACGGCCCAGACUCCUACGGGAGGCAGCAGUAGGGAAUCUUCCACAAUGGACGAAAGUCUGAUGGAGCAACGCCGCGUGAGUGAUGAAGGUUUUCGGAUCGUAAAACUCUGUUGUAAGGGAAGAACACGUACGAGAGGGAAUGCUCGUACCUUGACGGUACCUUACGAGAAAGCCACGGCUAACUACGUGCCAGCCGCCGCGGUAA
rnacentral:rRNA from 1 species